ensembl:lncRNA
UUUCCAGGAGUCAUGACAACGGGCCGUGGACCUUGAGGACGCUCAGCUGCUGCCAAUUACGCACCUGGCUCCAGUUCCCCAUCAGGGGGGUAUUUAAGAGCCGUCUGGAGAGCCAGUCCCUGCCGGAUCGUUAUGUGCCAGGACUUUGCCUGAGACUACCGUCGUCCACCCUGCUGCCUCACCAAGCCCCAGAAAACAGAACGUCUCGGACUACUGGUGUUUUUUUCAUUAUUUUUGGAUCUUUUGUGAAUGAACAAUUCUUUAUUCUCACCACCAAUCCAGUCUGCGUUUAGGUCCUGUUCGAGCUUGACAUGAUAAUUCUGAUUCUGAUUGAAGACAUUCCAAUUUGUGGAAAAAAUGGUCUUCUCAACCAAAAAUGUGCGAGGUUGAAGACCUCUGUAUUAAAGGAAUAUUUCUGUUUUCAGCGGCCUACUUGGAUUAUGUCUUUAGCUAGACGUGGGAAGAACAUGUUUCUCACCAACAGAUCUUCCACCAAGCCAGGACUGCAGGUCGAACUAUCAACUCACUAAAGUGUUCCUUUGCUUAUAAGAAGGUGGAAUACUUGGGCCACGUGGUUGGACAAGGGGCGGUCAAGCCUCAAUUAGGAAAGUUGAAUGCCAUGCAUUCAUAUCCUGUGCCCACCACCAAUAAGAUUAUUUGUGCUUUUAUGGGGCUUGUGGGGUGGUACAGCAAAUUCAUCCCCCACUUUAAUGAGAAGGAGCCAUACUCACGGACCUCAUGAAGGCCUCAGCCCUAAAGACAGUCAGAUGAAAUGAGGAAUGUGACCGGGACUUCAAAGACUUUAAGGGGACACACAAGUCAGUCUGUUCUCCACAGCCCUGACUUUUCACAACCUGUGUUUCUUCUUAGAUGUCAGACAGAUGUCUCAUGGCUAGGUUUGAGCAGUUUGACUUUGGGAGACGGAUGGAGACAUACCCUCGUGUCCCUAAGUCGUAAGCUCUUGGACCAAGAGACAAGGUACUCUACUGCGGAGAAAGAGUUCUUGUCCAUGAAGUUUGUCAUGUGGUACUACUUGCUGGGACGUCACUUUACCCAUGAGACGGAUCAUUGGGCUCUGCAGUGGCUGAUGAAGGAUUCCAACACAUGUCUCGCUGGGUGGUACCUGUCACCACAGCCAUAUGACUUUGCAGUCCAGUACCAUCCGGGGAAAGCCAACCUUGUCUGACCAGGCUCUCUCCAGAAUAUAUGAGGACUGACCAAAUGUAAAUGAGUGUGUAUACUAUAUGGAGCUCAAUUGUUUGGGUAAGGGAUGGGAGAGGACUGGUAGAGACUGAGGAUAACUGAUCGGUGAUGGUGAACGGUGCCAUUAGAAUAUGAAAAUAAAUAAAGCCUUGGUUUAAAACUGUGUCACAGCCUCCUGAUUUGUACAUUUGCCCCCUAUUUGCUCGGGCAUGCUGACAACACCAAAGACCAAUGAGAAAUGUAUUUUAGAAAUAUGAGGUUGCCGGCCUGCUCUGCCUGAUAUAUGGCCUGACACACAACUACACCAACACACACACACACACACGCACACACACACUUAAGCACCACCACUGGCAUGCACACAUACACAUGGC